rnacentral:rRNA from 1 species
UACGAAGGGGGCUAGCGUUGCUCGGAAUCACUGGGCGUAAAGCGCACGUAGGCGGAUUUCUAAGUCAGGGGUGAAAUCCUGGAGCUCAACUCCAGAACUGCCUUUGAUACUGGGAAUCUCGAGUCCGGGAGAGGUGAGUGGAACUGCGAGUGUAGAGGUGAAAUUCGUAGAUAUUCGGAAGAACACCAGUGGCGAAGGCGGCUCACUGGACUGGUAUUGACGCUGAGGUGCGAAAGCGUGGGGAGCAAACAGG